rnacentral:rRNA from 1 species
UACAGGGGGUGCAAGCGUUGCUCGGAAUUACUGGGCGUAAAGCGUGCGCAGGCGGUUUGACAAGUCGGGGGUGAAAACCCGGGGCUCAACCCCGGAAUUGCCUCCGAAACUGUCAGACUUGAAUACGAGAGAGGGUCGCGGAAUUCUUGGUGUAGAGGUGAAAUUCGUAGAUAUCAGGAAGAACACCAGUGGCGAAAGCGGCGACCUGGCUCGAUAUUGACGCUCAUGCACGAAAGCGUGGGGAGCAAACAGG